CGGAGCGUAGCGCAGCCUGGUAGCGCACCUGAUUUGGGAUCAGGGGGUCGUAGGUUCGAAUCCUAUCGCUCCGACCA
rnacentral:tRNA from 43 species